UUCUAGAUGAAUUCUUCGAUUUAGUAGCCCUAGCCCAUCUUCCCGUGCUUGUAUUUCGGAUGCUCAUUCUCGGUCCAGCGAAGUCUCCUCUCCAGACACCCUAGCCUUCUUACGAGUCUGCCAUUUACGUUUAGCCUUCAACGCCAUCUCCAAAGUGAUUGACGAAAGCCCCGGAACAGGUUAAUAAAGCUGGGAAUUUCCGCUUAAACCCCGAGAGUUGA
rnacentral:lncRNA from 1 species